rnacentral:snoRNA from 1 species
UUUGUGAUGAUACACAAAUCAAGCAUAGUUCAAUCAGAAGUCAUAAUGAUCGACACAAUUCCAUCUAAGUCUUUCGCUCCUAUCUGA